rnacentral:misc_RNA from 1 species
CGACCCUCAAGCUUUGCUUGGUGUUGGGUAGAGUCCUUAGGGGACCCACCCGUAACUUGUAGGCGGCCAUUGGUGGCUCCCCUAGCGUAGCAGGCUUAACGCACUCGCUAGAGGGUGGCUCGGGUGGCCCGCCCAAAACUUAUUUUUCAAG